rnacentral:rRNA from 1 species
CCUACGGGAGGCAGCAGUGAGGAAUAUUGGUCAAUGGACGAGAGUCUGAACCAGCCAAGUAGCGUGAAGGAUGACUGCCCUAUGGUUUGUAAACUUCUUUUAUAUGGGAAUAAAACGUUCCACGUGUGGGAUUUUGUAUGUACCAUAUGGAUAAGGAUCGGCUAACUCCGUGCCAGCAGCCGCGGUAAUACGGAGGAUCCGAGCGUUAUCCGGAUUUAUUGGGUUUAAAGGGAGCGUAGGUGGAUUGUUAAGUCAGUUGUGAAAGUUUGCGGCUCAACCGUAAAAUUGCAGUUGAAACUGGCAGUCUUGAGUACAGUAGAGGUGGGCGGAAUUCGUGGUGUAGCGGUGAAAUGCUUAGAUAUCACGAAGAACUCCGAUUGCGAAGGCAGUUCACUGGACUGCAACUGACACUGAGGCUCGAAAGUGUGGGUAUCAAACAGGAUUAGAUACCCUAGUAGUC